rnacentral:rRNA from 1 species
AUACAUGCAAGUCGAGCGANACAGAAGGGAGCUUGCUCCCGGAUGUUAGCGGCGGACGGGUGAGUAACACGUGGGUAACCUGCCUGUAAGACUGGGAUAACUCCGGGAAACCGGAGCUAAUACCGGAUAGUUCCUUGAACCGCAUGGUUCAAGGAUGAAAGACGGUUUCGGCUGUCACUUACAGAUGGACCCGCGGCGCAUUAGCUAGUUGGUGGGGUAAUGGCUCACCAAGGCGACGAUGCGUAGCCGACCUGAGAGGGUGAUCGGCCACACUGGGACUGAGACACGGCCCAGACUCCUACGGGAGGCAGCAGUAGGGAAUCUUCCGCAAUGGACGAAAGUCUGACGGAGCAACGCCGCGUGAGUGAUGAAGGUUUUCGGAUCGUAAAGCUCUGUUGUUAGGGAAGAACAAGUGCGAGAGUAACUGCUCGCACCUUGACGGUACCUAACCAGAAAGCCACGGCUAACUACGUGCCAGCAGCCGCGGUAAUACGUAGGUGGCAAGCGUUGUCCGGAAUUAUUGGGCGUAAAGGGCUCGCAGGCGGUUUCUUAAGUCUGAUGUGAAAGCCCCCGGCUCAACCGGGGAGGGUCAUUGGAAACUGGGAAACUUGAGUGCAGAAGAGGAGAGUGGAAUUCCACGUGUAGCGGUGAAAUGCGUA